CCUGGCUCAGGAUGAACGCUAGCGGCAGGCUAACACAUGCAAGUCGAGGGGCAUCGGGAGUAGCAAUACUUGCCGGCGACCGGCGCAAGGGUGCGUAACGCGUGAGCAACAUGCCCGUAUCAGGGGGAUAAUCCAUGGAAACGUGGUCUAAUACCCCAUAGUAAUUAUGUAAGGCAUCUUAUAUAAUUUAAAGCUUUGGUGGAUACGGAUUGGCUCGCGUGACAUUAGCUGGAUGGUAAGGUAACGGCUUACCAUGGCUACGAUGUCUAGGGGUUCUGAGAGGAAGGUCCCCCACACUGGAACUGAGACACGGUCCAGACUCCUACGGGAGGCAGCAGUGAGGAAUAUUGGACAAUGGAUGGAAAUCUGAUCCAGCCAUGCCGCGUGCCAGGAAGACGGCCCUAUGGGUUGUAAACUGCUUUUGUAUGGGAGCAAUAAGGGCUACGUGUAGUCCGAUGAGAGUACCAUACGAAUAAGCACCGGCUAACUCCGUGCCAGCCGCUGC
rnacentral:rRNA from 1 species